AACCUGCCCAAGAGAUCGGGAUAACACCUGGAAACAGAUGCUAAUAACCGGAUAACAACAGAUGAUGCCUAUCAACUGUUUAAAAGAUGGUUCUGCUAUCACUCUUGGAUGGACCUGCGGUGCAUUAGCUAGUUGGUAGGGUAACGGCCUACCAAGGCGAUGAUGCAUAGCCGAGUUGAGAGACUGAUCGGCCACAUUGGGACUGAGACACGGCCCAAACUCCUACGGGAGGCAGCAGGC
rnacentral:rRNA from 1 species